ensembl:lncRNA
AAUUAAAGAUUAAUGCUUACAAGAUUCUUCAUAUCUCAAGACAGAAAGAAGAUGGUGAACAAAUGUUAUGAAGCCAGUAGUCUUGUUCAGAGAAAAUAUAAAACUCAAAGAAUCAACAAUCAAGGGAACUCAAAGAAUCAACAAUCAAAGGAAUUGAGCUCUGCUUUCAUCCCUAGAAAAAGCUUCCCCAUAUUAAAGCCAAGUCUCAAAGAGUGAGGUUUUUUACCCCACAGCAGAUGAUAGCUUCCUACAGAGAGAAAAGAUCCCCAUGGUAUCAUUUAAGAUUCAUCCCAAAAGAUUUGCUCUUUCAGGAGUCCAGUAGGUCUCAUUUUCCCAGUUUUCAAGAUUGCUAGGAUGACUGAGGCUACAUUCACAAGAUUGUUUCAUUGGUACGGAUCCUGUUGUUCUGAGAACCCACCCGGAAUAUGCUGUUUUUUCUUACUACACUUGGUUGCUGCCAGUGCUUGGGUGAGGUUGGAAAGGUUCCAGUACACUGUGCUCUGUACUCCCCUUACAUCAAUAAACACUGUGCGAGGUCCUAAAUCACAGUGCAAACUCAAAUUUGUGUCCUUUAAAAUCAGAAAUAUCUACAUUUCUGAAGUUUGUGCCUAUUUGUUUGAUAAUAUAUUUGUUUUACCUCUGUUUUUGCACAUCUCCCAGUAGCUGCCGGCUGAGACACUUAGGGAAAUGGAGCCAGAGCCGGUUACAAAGGUUGUGAACUACACAGAAUUAUUAACAACAGUCAUCUGAGUCUGGAGCCUGCGAUCACUUGGCAUUUGGCCUGCGGCACGUUCCUGUGAGACAAAUAGUGCUCCCCAGGAGUACAGCGCCUGACCUUCUACCUGGGAUGUGAGGAAGCAUGACAGAUGCUCAGGUGCCAUGUGCUAUUUGCAACACGUGGCAGCUGUGGCUGCCCUUCACCUGCUGGCAAGAUGAUGAGAUCUAGAAAAACAAGGACUUUCAGAGAUUUUGGGCCUAAUGCCAGCUGUAGAGCUGAGGUUAAGGAACAACUUUUCCCCUUUUACCUGCUCAUCUUCAACCCUUAUUUCUCUUUUACCUUGCUAUUCCUAGAGAAAGUAAAAGAGAGCAGGUAUUUCCCUCCUUUUCUCCACGCUGCUAAAACUUAACUGAGAUUCAUUUCCCUGAAUGUGAAUAAAAAAUUGCAGCACUUGCCAUGAUACCACACUUCACCUCUGCUUUUCACAUUUUCAGUCUUACAGUUCUCUUUAAGAGUACAUGAGGCUUUGCACUGUGUCUCUGCACCAAGCUGAUUUUCACUCUAUUCAGCAUAACUCAGUUAACAUCCUGCAGCUGCCAGGACAGUUCUCUGGUGCCUCAGCUGUUCCUAGGGGACAAGGGAAAGAGCUACCCAAACACCAAGCACAGCCCAAAUCACAUGCACAGGCAGCUCAUAGCCUUGGACCAGUGUGAGAAGCAGGCACAUCUACUUCUCAUGCACACAAUAAUUUUAUUUGUGUGAGAGACAGCAGAACUGAAGCAGCCUGGCAAAGCCCUAAAUUGCUGCUGUCACUGCUGUUGUGGAUGGCAAAAAAAAAAAAAAAAAAAAAAAACCAACAAAAACAAACAACAACAACAACAACAAAAAACAGGACUCUGGCAGUGCCAAAAUAUUCUCAGCAUGAUUACUAAAAGUUUUAGAAAUGAUUGUCUCUUUCUUCCACAGGUACCAAGGAGGAAAUUCAACUGUAUGUAAUCCACCCCAUCUUGUUUAUUUGUAAUUAUUACCUAUGUGUGUGUGUUCACAUUUGUCUGUCAGAUUCUGCUGUCUUUUUCCACUUUUGUUUCAGAUAAUUAUUUAUAGCUGCCUUUGGACCUAAGUAAAUGUUUCAUUCUUG